CCUAUUCCUCCCGAACAAAAUGAUAUAGAAGUGUACUUCAUAUGAAAGACUAAAUUAAGGUUGAACAGACAUAUAGCUCAAAUUACAUGUUUUAUUUUAGUUAAAAACUUGGACAAUUGCCUCUGUCCUUAAAGGAUAGAAAUAUUACCACUGGCAUUGUAAAGGGUUAAAUAAUUCCAGCACCGUUGUCCCUCGACGCUUGGCAGCACUCUGUCUCCUCUGAUGUCAGACAAUGGACGGGGACCUAAUAUGCAGGCACAGUUAGCACCGGGCGCGCCUUAGGUCUUCCGUGUAGGAAAGCAUUGACUGUUUGUCCUCAUGGAGAGUGAUGAUGUCCAGUGUCGUUUCAAGGAAACUAAAGGAAACACCUUUAUUGGUUGUCUUGUAGGCUGCAACUAGAGGCAGUCUUAGUAUUGCAAUGUAAACAUUGCAGUUUCCCUAAAAACAGCAAUGUUUUAUUUGCAGGACUAAGGGUGGCAGGGACUCCUUCAAUGAGAUUAGGUGGUGCUUAUAGUGCCCCUUUAAGGGGUUAAUAGGCCAUGCACCUCUCUAGCUGGACUUUUUACACAAAGGCAUGAUGUGUUAUUAAGAUCCUAUUUAUUUUUUCCCCUCAUUUGGGUAACGCACACUCACUAAUCAGAACACUAUCUUUUGUUUUUUUAUAAUUCUUUAUUUUUGUCGUGCAGUGGUGAUACAUCAGUAAAGAAAGACAUUGGUUACACAAAUAAACAAAAAGGUAAGCCUUGCAGAUGUCUAACUAAGGUGCACUUUUUUUUUUUUUUUAAAUAGAAGUAUAUAACAAGAUAAUGCAGGGUAGGUAUUUAUGUCUGGAUAACAAGCAUAAGCAGAGCUAAAAGAGCUAAACAUAAAAUUACCCCGACACGACAAGAGGUGACAAUAUAAUACUGCUGUACUGUCAAGAUUAAGAAAGUUAGGAAUUGGAGAGAAAAUUCUGACUGUACUAACGGAUAUGCAGCUUAAGAAAAGUACCACUGGGUUUAGAAGUGAGGCAUUAGCAGCAAAUGCUUUACAUCCUGCAAGUUGCAAAGUGGGGCCUCCAUGGAUCGGAUUUGCUUUUCCAGAACAUCCUACAGAUUAAGAUCUGGUAAAUUUGGAGGCAACAGCUUGAACUCUUUGUCAUGUUCCUCAAACCAUUCAUGAACAAUGUUUGCAGUGUGGCAGGGUGCAUUAUCCUGCUGAAAGAGACCAUGCUAUCAUGGAACACCAUAGCCAUGAAGGGGCAACAAUCUCUAGGUAGGUGGUACAUAUCAAAGUAACAUCCACACAAAUGCCAGAAUCCAAGGUUGAUCCAAGGUUUCUCAACAUAACAUUGCUCAAAGCACACCUCCUCUGCCGCCUUGCCUUCUUCCCAUAGUGCAUCAUGCUGCCAUCUG